rnacentral:rRNA from 1 species
AGCGAACGCUGGCGGCAGGCCUAACACAUGCAAGUCGAACGAACUCUUCGGAGUUAGUGGCGGACGGGUGAGUAACACGUGGGAACGUGCCUUUAGGUUCGGAAUAACUCAGGGAAACUUGUGCUAAUACCGAAUGUGCCCUUCGGGGGAAAGAUUUAUCGCCUUUAGAGCGGCCCGCGUCUGAUUAGCUAGUUGGUGAGGUAAAGGCUCACCAAGGCGACGAUCAGUAGCUGGUCUGAGAGGAUGAUCAGCCACAUUGGGACUGAGACACGGCCCAAACUCCUACGGGAGGCAGCAGUGGGGAAUCUUGCGCAAUGGGCGAAAGCCUGACGCAGCCAUGCCGCGUGAAUGAUGAAGGUCUUAGGAUUGUAAAAUUCUUUCACCGGGGACGAUAAUGACGGUACCCGGAGAAGGAGCCCCGGCUAACUUCGUG